UAAAAAAAAAGACAAAUAUUUUUCUGUAUAGCUUUAAUAAUCUAAAAUUAUUAAGAAUAUCAUUAUUGAUUUAAAUGGUGGGACUAUAAAACUAUGUUUUCACAGAACCGACCUGAAGUAAGUAACACAAAGUUCUGUACUCUUAAAUCUGCAAAUGCAAAACUAUUACAAAAGACUGCUGAACAGUUCUGCCAGUUACUCAGGCCUAUUCCUACAGAAAGUCUCUGCUUCCUAGUAAAACUGCUUAAACUUACAGUCUCUUCCUAUUCCAAAAAGUCAAUUCCAGCUGACAGAGAUGCGGAAAAGGGCUCUGACAAAGAGCAGGAAGAAAUUAUUGCUCUUGAAAGAUGUUUUCUUGAAAGCAUCACUGAGGUCGUUUAAGAAACGACUGCCACCACAUUUCCGGCCUUCUUGGAUGAUACAGCUCUUUCAGCAGAGCAAGUGGAAAGGAUAGUGUCAUUACCUACCUUUACACAAGUCAUCCUUUUAACUUAAAUUCCCAGAUUAUUUUUCUGGGAAAAUUAUGUCCUACUAUCAACAUCCUCGGUUAAAUCAGUAUAUUAACUACUAUGCUUAUUUCUCUAAGAAGACUUCUCCUGGGUCAUCUGAACCAAACCCAUGGCGUCUGAUCUUUACUACUCCAAUCCAGAUAAGUGCAACUGUGCUGGGGUGAGGAAGGGACACGGCCUGCUAUUAUUUCAGAGGCAGCACAAAGAGAGCCUGGUAAUACAAUGCACACAUAUCUGUUGAUCAGUCUGACAGUGCUGAAGCUUAACUCUGGGAGAUGGAUUUAAAAGUGCAAGAUGAGGUGAAUCCCAGGAUGGCAGUCACAUUCAGCAAAUUUUCUCCUGCAUAAACCUUAGUCAACUCCACAGUGAUUGCAGUGUCCAGGGACUAACUCCUCUUAUGUCUCCUUACAGCUUGGCCUAAUACAGUUGCUGCUGUCUUCUUUACCCUGUCCUGGGUUUGUGUCCCUGCUGUUUGUUUCUUUUCUCUCUUUGAUAUUUUUUAACACAGAAAGCUCAAACGUGUCAUACACAGCUACCAGAACCCCUGCCAGACAAGAUACCCAUUAAAGGUAAAUCUAAAUAGAAACUGUUAAAGCCUCUGCAGCUGAAAUCAUCAGACAAAACAGGUUUAACUGAUAGUACUGAUGAUGCCAAUAUAGCCAGAAAGUGAAAACUCAAACUCACCACUAUUUUCCUCCAUUUACCUGUCAGCAGUUACAAUAGUGAACAUGGAGUGGAACAGGGCAAUGAUGAACGAGAGUUUAAAAUACCUUUUUCCCUUGCGUAAAAAAUAGAGCCAGAUCUGCCCAGCACUGUCUGUACUCCCACCUGCCACAAGUGCCUGUGUCCACCCCCACCGUGAGCAACACAGCUCUCCACACUUCCUUCUUCAGAAAAUCCUGCCUCUGGGAGGUAAGACAGUGUUAAUUUGGUCUGUAGAAAGCCUGAACCAUUGCAGUUAUGAGAGCAGUGUACAGCAAGGGCAAAGAGGCACCUGCUACCUUUGCAGUAAUCAACAUUUCAAAUCUAUCACAUGCCUCGAAUUAAUUUCCAGCUGAAAAGCAAUCAUUUUUCAAGCACUUAAUAAAAACCAUAUGCAGAAAUUAGACAUAGUUCUGAUUGAUGAUGAUUUUUCUGAUCAAAUGGUUAUUUGUGACAGUUUCAAAUUUGAUGAAAUAAAUUCAUUUCAGUAAACUCCAAUUUUUUUGUUGACAAAACUGAAGAGCAUUCCCUUGGCAAUUCUCCUACCAGAGAGAUCCCACCUAACCCUGUAUUUGAAUACCAUCUCCUUGGCACAGUCAGACCUAGGGAAUGCCUCUGCUGCAGUUACUGGGGGGAUUAUAUGGCACAUAAAUGUUCACAUUAACUCUGAGCUAGCAGGGAUAAAGGGGACUGUGCAGUUGAUGGCACACCCAUUAAUAGAGCACAGUCAGGUAAGGUAUCACGCAACGCAGCGUAACUGUGCAGUUCAACUUCUCCUUCCCUCUCCCCUCAACCAAAUCAAGCUUGAUCCAGUCUUGCAGCCAGCUGUCAGUCCUGUGACAGCCACAGAGGGCUCAGAGAGAACUAAUUUAGACUCAUCAUUAGAAAAUACUUAAAGAAAAGAGCUCAUUCCUAAGUCAGCACUGUUAGAGAUAAGGCACAGAACUAUUCAUUUGGAAUUGCCCUAAAAACACGUGAUCAUUCUCUGAGAAGAGCCCUAAUCUCAGCAAAUUAUCACGAGGCAGUGCAAGCACAUGCACACUGGCACAUUAGGUAUGUUAUUGACUGACUACGUAUGGGACCCCCAAAUCUUCAUUUGCGAAGCCUAGCCAUGAUAACAUAUGGAACUCGUGUGCUCAGAGCUCUUGUAGGUGGACCUAUCAAAGAACCAGCCCAAGACCUCAAGCCAGCAUCUGAAAUCUCCUGAACACAUCUCCUGGGUCCUUACAUGGGCUUUGUCAGUGCUCUGGUUAGACUUGAGCUCUCAUACCUUCUCACUGAUCAUCUGGAAAAAGGGGAACACAGUUUGGGAAUGGAAUGCUGCUGCUUUAACCCUGAGAUGCACCUUUGAUCCUCUCUAUGAGACUGGGGGAAACAGUGUCCCAUGGGAGCAGGCCAACAGAGGAGAGAAAAUGAUCCUCCCUUACCUGCUUAAGGAUCACCUACGUGAGAGUUGUUUAGUGAAGUGUCAGUCACCUUCCCCAGCUGAGGCAGCACCUGCAAUACAACAAUCACACACAGAGUGCACCCCUUGAUUCAGGCACACGCCCCAGUGCCACACUCUUCAGAGGCAAUCCAAAGUGAUUUAGUAUUUUGGAGGCUGUUUGUGGUGUUACAGGAGGAAUUCACAUAGUUCCUCCAAAAGGAAUAAUCCCAAAAUAGAUUUGCUUAGCACUAAUGAGAAGGUACUGGUAUUCAAUUGCAUGUGGUUUCCAUGUAUUGAAAAAAGACAUGCAGUCUCAUUAAUCUGCUUUAACUGUGAGCCAUUUUUCUUUCACUUUUAGUAUUCUCAAGCCUAGGAGUGCCAACGGGAACACAGGACAGGCUGACUACAGAGGAGUCAUCUCCUCUGAAAUCAUCCUCAUGUGUCUGUCAGGAAUUCUUGAAACAACUGCAAUAAAUCCUGAAUUUUUAAUAUGGUUCACAAGUUCAGAGACAAAAAAAAAUCGGUGCUCAGACAGCUGGGACUGUGGUAGUUAUCUACGAUGUCAGGGUACACAUGUUUUUGUAAAAGGAAAUCAAACGGGAAACUGUAUUGAAAAAAGCAUGAUCAAACGUGGUCAGAAGACAAAGAAUGACUGCUGGAAAGCAGAGAAAGAUGGGUCAGCAGAAACAAGUAUGAAGGGUCAGGAGAGAAAAAUGAGCUUCCUACCUGAUUCCUUGUUGUUCUACAUGGCAGCUAAAAAGAUGGGUCUCUAUUUGCCAACACCAUACAAGUAAAGUAACAGUUCACAAACAGUGGAACAUAAGCUGUUGUAUUAACUCAAAAAUCCAGAUAGACAAAUCCUUGGUUUUCAACACAGCAAAUAAGACAGAUUUCCUUGGAUGGUCUUGCAGUCCAUAGAUCACUGACUGGGAACUGAUGGUAUAGACUGAAAUCUCCCUCAUAGUCCCCUCAGCCUCAGGAGUGAAGCACACAAGGUAUAUCAGGCUGCAUGUGUUUCUCAGCUGCAGUUGUGGCCCCACUGAAGUUGAAGUGUUGAACCCCACAUAUAACAUCAACGUGGUAAAAUAGAUGCAAGGAAACACAGUCAGGAUUUACAGGAAUACUCUGUGCUGUUUGAGGAAA